GAUCAUAGCUCAGGAUGAACGCUAGCUACAGGCUUAACACAUGCAAGUCGAGGGGCAGCAUGAACUUAGCUUGCUAAGUUUGAUGGCGACCGGCGCACGGGUGAGUAACGCGUAUCCAACCUACCCUUGUCCAUCGGAUAACCCGUCGAAAGGCGGCCUAACACGAUAUGCGGUUCACCGCAGGCAUCUAACGUGAACGAAAUGUGAGGGAGAAGGAUGGGGAUGCGUCUGAUUAG
rnacentral:rRNA from 1 species